GACGAACGCUGGCGGCGUGCUUAACACAUGCAGGUCGAACGGAAAGGCCCUGCUUUUGUGGGGUGCUCGAGUGGCGAACGGGUGAGUAACACGUGAGUAACCUGCCCUUGACUUUGGGAUAACUUCAGGAAACUGGGGCUAAUACCGGAUAGGAGCCCCUGCUGCAUGGUGGGGGUUGGAAAGUUUCGGCGGUUGGGGAUGGACUCGCGGCUUAUCAGCUUGUUGGUGGGGUAGUGGCUUACCAAGGCUUUGACGGGUAGCCGGCCUGAGAGGGUGACCGGCCACAUUGGGACUGAGAUACGGCCCAGACUCCUACGGGAGGCAGCAGUGGGGAAUAUUGCACAAUGGGCGGAAGCCUGAUGCAGCAACGCCGCGUGCGGGAUGACGGCCUUCGGGUUGUAAACCGCUUUCGCCUGUGACGAAGCGUGAGUGACGGUAAUGGGUAAAGAAGCACCGGCUAACUACGUG
rnacentral:rRNA from 1 species